rnacentral:rRNA from 1 species
UACGUAGGGUGCAGGCGUUAAUCGGAAUUACUGGGCGUAAAGCGUGCGCAGGCGGUUGUGCAAGACCGAUGUGAAAUCCCCGGGCUUAACCUGGGAAUGGCAUUGGUGACUGUACGGCUAGAGUGUGUCAGAGGGGGGUAGAAUUCCACGUGUAGCAGUGAAAUGCGUAGAUAUGUGGAGGAACACCGAUGGCGAAGGCAGCCCCCUGGGCUAAGAUUGACGCUCAUGCACGAAAGCGUGGGGAGCAAACAGG